rnacentral:tRNA from 1 species
GCCGCGGUAGCUCAGUGGUAGUAGCGCAUCCCUGAAGAGGAUGGCGUCGGGGGUUCGAUUCCCUCCCGCGGCACCA